GUUUCUACACAAGUAAGAAAGGAGUGACUUGCUCCCUCUUUUCAGAGACAGAGACACUCCCCACCCCCUUUUACCCAUUUGCUUUUGCUGCCAUGGGCCUCCUCCUGUGUGUGGAGCUCAUCUCAGAGAUGGAUCGAUGACUGAAGACUCUUGUGAUCCGACCGACCCUGCCCUAAGUCACCCAAGGCCAGGUGCCAAGGAACCAGCGUUUGCCAAGAUUAGCCAUCCUCCGUUCACCUACCCUGCCUUUGCAGCAGAAAUUCCACUAAAGAGUUGAAGACUCCAGGGCGUCUCUCACCUUUGUGUCCACCUGCAGGGCGGCACCCUUUAUCAGCCUGGAGAGGGCUUGGGCUUCGCAGGUACCCCUCCAUGGCCCAGGGCUACCUCCUCAUUUCUGGACAGCAUCUGCAUGCGGUCAACCAGGUAUAUGAGCUUCCCCUCGCAAUACUCCAGCUUGCCGUGCACGUCAAGGGUGUCAGAGAUUGCUACUUCCUUCUGUGGGCCGGAGGGGCAGCUUGUUUUUCUGGCGGCCCCACCUGAGGACCUCCGUGCACAGCAGCUCCCCAUCCCGGGGCUGGCUGGUACCUGGGUGGCUGGCAAGGUGAUGCCAAUGAGCCGGAUGUAGAGGUUGUCAAUACCCGUCUGGAUGGCCAGUAGCAGCUGCUGGCUCUUAGUCAUGUUGUUGUAGGCCAGCUGGAGCCUUGCUUCUUCCUCUUCCAGCAUGGUCUUCAUCUUUUUCUCGAUGGAACUAAAGCUGCAGAGAAGGCAGGCACAGCAGUUAAGGGUGGGGCAGUACUCAGGGCCCACGGGGGUCCUGAACCGGGUGUUGUGUCAGCUUCAGGGGCUCAUAGAUUCAGCUUCAAGCAGGUGGGUCCUCAGCUCCGCCGCAGAUGCACAGGCUUAUUGGCAAUAGCUGUGUGCAGCUUGUACCCGUGGGGCCAUCCGGCAGCCCUGGAACAUACCCAACAGUGCUGGGUGUCUGGUGGAACUUGAGCAGCGCCUCUUCAAGCUCCAGCUUCUUCAUCAGGGCCUCCAGCUGUGUCCGUCGCUCCUCACAGUCCUCCAUCUGUAGCUCCAGGUUCUCCUCUGUAUUCUUCUGGGCCAGGAAGCGGCCAGCUAUGUCCUAACCAGCCCAGGGCAGGGAGAGACAGGUGUGUGUCUGAAAGGUAGUGGGGCCUCCUAGCUCUUCCCAAUGGCUAGUGCGGCUUCCUGGUACUUAGGGCUCAGCCAUAACACUGGCUACUUUGGGCACUAAGGUUCAUGAGGGGCUAGGCAGAGGGUUGCCUGUACAUGUCCUGAUAUGUGGCUUUCCUGACAGGCAGAGGGUAAGUAACCAUGUGUCACCUUCAGUCAAGAUGGAUGGGAGCUCAAGGCCUGACAGUGGUAACUCAGGUAGACCUGUCUAUGACAAAAAGAAGCAGCUGUUCACUGUGACUGUCAAGUUGGGGCCAGGUCCUUAGCAUUUGGACUUUCAAAAUCUGGCAGACUCUGUCCUGUAUAUAGAAUAUUGUGGGGACAUGCCAUCCAUAUACUGGAGGUAUCUUCAUACCUCAAAAAAAUUUUUUCCAGGCUUGAGAGCAUCAUGUUUGGGAACCUCCAAGGGGAAGGUUAAGUUUUGUGAACUUUUUGCAGAGCACCCUAUGCCCUGGCCUAGCUUAGUCACUCUCCAAGGGUCAGGGAGACUCACCCAGAGGUGGGAGCACUGCACAGCGGAUUUGACCUUCUCUACUAAGGCAGUCACUUCUGUCUGGUAUUCCAUGUCUGCUAUGGAAGUUUCUCUUUUCCUCACUGGACAGAGUAGAGAAGGAGGUCUAGUCAGUGUGCAAGAGUGGCUAUCUGGUGACUCUAUAAACACUCAGGCUUCAAAGAAGCCUCAUGUGGUACCCAUACCUGCUCUCCUCAGCCUGACCCUUCAGAGUACCUUGGGAAACUCAAGAACAGACAAGGGCCGGGAGCAGCAUGGUAUCACGUGGCUCUGGGAAGCAGUUCUGAGAUGUCACUGGGUGACCGAGCUCUAGUUACUAGAGAUGGCAUCCCUGCAGCCACCUUGUGCCAUAGGCCCUCAGGUUCUUCAGGGACAGUCAGGGAGAGGCAGGGGCUGUCUGUCUUCCUCACCCUCGUGACCACUGGCCUCACGGUGACCUGGCUGGGCAGUCCCAGUCACUGCUGGCUACUGGAGACCUUAGCUGGACAAGGCAAGGCGCUGAGGCUCACCCUUUGUGGUCUCUGUACUCAUCAGAUUGGAGGGGAAAUCCAAGUCCCUCCGGCCCUGAUGGGAGAGAGAGCCAGGUGAGACCGAGACGUGAAGGCUCCCCCCUACUCUUCCCCCAGUGGGUGAGGGCUGCCAUGGGGCGUGGCUCAAGAUGUACACGGCGGUACUUCUCGCUGGUCUCCUUGGUGUGGAUCUUGUCAAUGAGCUUCUUCUGCUGAUUCAGCCGGUUCUCCCGUGCCCUUCGCUCCUCGAUGAAGGUCGCCUCCCUCUGCCUCAUGUUCCUCUGGGGACAUAAAGAUUCAGUGGGGACACUGUCUCACCAAGGGCCCUCCCAGGGUCCUAAAGCCAGGGGCCAGUUUUUAGUCCUCAUCCCAUUGGACUGUGGAAGAGAGCUGGCUAUCCUUUUCUUCUUACUGGCUCCACUGUCUUCUUGGUGCCCCCUUUGCAGAGACUCCUGGCUAACACAUGCCUACUGACUUUUCCCUCUAGCCCAGGCUCUCUCCUUUCCUCCAGUCCCGGGCCUUUAGCUGCCCCCUGGCCUGUUCCACUUAGAACUCAUUAAAUUGGAUUUAACACAUCUAAAAGAUAUUCAUCCCCUUUAUUCUCAAACCCGGUCUCUCUUCCAUUCUGCUCUUGUGGCUGAAAGUUAUCAUCCCUCCUUCCCUACUUCUGCUCUCUUUCUCUCUCACCACUCCUAUUGAGGCCACUGUGGUCACCCCUUAAAAAUUUCCCUGCCCUGUCUGCUUCUGGCCACCCCUGUUAUACCACUGGCCCAGCCACACAGCCAGUGGCUCUGCUCUGGCACCUUCUGGAACCUGCAGUCAAUGCAUGCCACUAUAAAAUACAAUCUGUGGUGGGUUUUUGUUUGUUGCUUGUUUCCAAGACAGGGUUUCUCUGUGCAGACCUAGCUCUCCUGGAACUCGCUCUGUAGCCCAGGCUGAUCUUGAACUCAGAGAUCUGCCUGACCCUGCCUCCUGAGUGCUGGGAUUAAAGGCGUGUGCCACCGUGCCCAGCACACAGCUCAGUCUGACCGUGUGUCCCUAUAUCUUCUCGGAGGAAGUAAGCCUAAGGACCCUGUAGCCUCCACUGACUCAUGCAGGGAAGCUAUGUCACCCUCUGUGCUCUGAUUCCCCCUGGACUUUGCGCUGGCCUUUCAGAGCCUAUUCAAGCAUAUUUCCUUGGAAAUCCACCCUAGAGAUUUCUGAAACCCAUUGCCUCUUUCUGCCAUACUGACGGAGAUAUGAUAUGGUGGGCUACUAGAUGAAUUGCCCACAUCAGGAGGAUGGGGCUUGCUGGGCCCCUAGUCCUGUCUCCCUAGAGACAGGGAUUCUGGUAGUGAUAAGGUGAAUAGAUGCCCCCGUUCUGGCCACAUCUAUUAUGGCCUCUGUCCCCAAAUCAAGUUUCUCUGUCCCAUGGGUGAGUAGGUCAACUGGCAAGGCUGAGAAUGGAUUUCUUCAGGGAUAAUGGGUAGUGUAGGCAUAGGAUGUUCAGAUGGGUCCUGAACAAGAUAGGAUCAGGCCAGCCAGCAAUUGAUGGUUCCCCAAUCCUGGAACUCACCUUGACCUCAUCAGUAAUCAUCAUGGCAUCUUGGGACAUGACUGUCAUAUCUGACAGCUCUGAGCAGUAGUUGGUCACCAGGUUCUGAAGCUUGUCUAGCUCUGUGGGAUAGCCUGCCAGAACCUAUCAGGAUGGGCAAAGGCAACAUGGUCAUGAAGCCAUGGCUCCCUUUGGUGCCAUCAUACCCUAUGCUGGCUUUCCUGAGCUCUCUGAUUCUCUUCCAUCCUUCAUUCCCAGACUGUGUGAGCCUGGGAACAGGGUAGGGGUUCUGUCAGUGGCCCAGCCUCUGGGCAGGUCACAGGAGAAACAAGUGCUCUAGUAUGGAUGGAUAGUCAUUGGUGAUCUAUGAACUCUCACUACCCAGGACAAGAAGAUGUGAUGACUGACUCAGUGUUGUACCCCAGCAGAGGUCAACUCUAAACCCAGGAUGGUUUGCUUGGAGGCAUCUUUGGUCUGAAGUGGAACAGAGGGGCUUGAAAGAUGGACAUGGAGCCAGAUAGGGUUCAAAGUGACGUUCACUUCCAACCAGCUAGCUAUGUGAUCUUGGGAUCACACCUAGCUUUUCUAAGGUAAUCCUGACUUUUCUGGAAGGUUUCUGUUAGGAUGGAUGGAGAAGAUAGCAUAUUUAGCACAAGGCUAGGUGCAUCUAUAGACAAGGAAGCCUAGCUGUUGAGAUUUUGCUGUUAAAACCUGUACAUGCUGAAUCUUUGCCAAUUAAAAAAAUGUGGAUAUGG